rnacentral:rRNA from 1 species
AUUGAACGCUAGCGGCAUGCCUAACACAUGCAAGUCGAACGAGUGGCGGACGGGUGAGUAAUGUCUCGGAAACUGCCUCCUGGCGGGGGAUAACUACUGGAAACGGUAGCUAAUACCGCAUACUCUCAGAUGGGCCCAGAUGGGAUUAGCUAGUUGGUGGGGGAAAGGCUCACCAAGGCGACGAUCCCUAGCUGGUCUGAGAGGACGACCCGGCAACCUGGGACGUGGGAAACGAUCAAAAUCCUACGGGGGGCAGCAGUGGGGAAUUAUGGAAAAAGGGGGAAACCCUGAUCCAGCCAUCCCGCGUGUAUGAUGAAGGCCUUCGGGUUGGAAAGUACUUUUUGCCGGGAAGAGGUAUCUGCCGAAUAAGCAACGGCUAACUACGUGGCAGGAGCCGCGGUAAUUC